CGUCUUUGUGAGCGCGCCCCGGCGGGGAGGAGCCGCCCGGCUCAGGCCCCACCCACCCGGAGGAUCUUGGGGCUGGUCUGGGUCCGCUCCUGAGACGUGACCACCCGCCCCGCCGGGGCCCCCAAUCCCAGUUGCUUGAUCCGGCUCAGCCCCGAGGUGUUUGCAGCAGCUCUUUCUGAAAGUCCAGCCAUCUGUUACCUGCGUUGCUUCCUGGGGAGGGAUAGUCCACCUGGAGGCAUUCGGAGACCCGGUGAUUGUGCUCCGUGGAGCCUGGGCUGUGCCCCGCGUUGACUGCCUCAUAGAUACCCUCCGAACCCCAAGUGAGAAAAAACGACGACCCUCUCUCCGUGAGUCUCACUGGGGUGCUGACCUAGAGUGAACCCUGCCUGCUUAGGGCUCCUGACCCAGAGCUUGUCCUUUCUCAGGGUGGACGGGGCGAGACCCCUGCUGGGAUAAAUGUUUUCCCUGGGGCAAGGGCUGUGCACUUCGCAGCUGCUGGGUCCCCUCCCUAGGAUCCAGGGAGACACUCACUACCCCUCUCCAUCCUGUUUUAGAUGCCAGCUGCAUGAGAAGAGGGACUCACCUUCUGGCCCCCUGCCUGGAAGAGGAAGAGCUGGCAUUGCACAGGAGACGGCUGGACAUGUCUGAGGCACUGCCCUGCCUGAGCAAGGAGACCCCCACCCCAGGCUGCAGGCUGGGGGCCCUGUAUUGGGCCUGUGUCCACAAUGAUCCCACCCAGCUCCAAGCCAUACUGGAUGGUGGGGUCUCCCCAGAGGAGGCCACCCAGGUGGACAGCAAUGGGAGGGCCUCAUGGUCGCAUGCUACCACGGCUUCCAGAGUGUUGUGGCCCUGCUCAGCCACUGUCCUUUCCUUGAUGUGAACCAGCAGGACAAAGGAGGGGACACGGCCCUCAUGUUGGCUGCCCAAGCAGGCCACGUGCCUCUGGUGAGUCUCCUGCUCAACUACUAUGUGGGCCUGGACCUGGAACGCCGGGACCAGCGGGGGCUCACAGCAUUAAUGAAGGCUGCCAUGCGGAACCGCUGUGAGUGCGUGGCCACCCUCCUCAUGGCAGGUGCUGACCUGACAGCAGUGGACCCUGUUCGGGGCAAGACGGCCCUGGAAUGGGCAGUGCUGACUGACAGCUUCGACACCGUGUGGAGGAUUCGGCAGCUGCUGAGGCGGCCCCAAGUGGAGCAGCUUAGCCAGCACUACCACCCCGAGUGGCCGGCCUUGUCCGGGCUCGUGGCCCAGGCCCAGGCCCAGGCCCAGGUUGCCCCUUCACUCCUAGAGCGGCUGCAGGCUACCUUGAGCCUCCCCUUUGCCCCAUCUCCUCAGGAGGGGGGUGUUCUGGACCACCUUGUGACUGCCACAACCAGCCUGGCCAGUCCCUUCGUCACCACUGCCUGCCACACUCUGUGCCCUGACCACCCACCUUCGCUGGGCACCCGAAGCAAGUCCGUGCCAGAGCUGUUAGUGCCAGCCGAAGCCCAGUCCUGCAGGACAUCAAAGUCUGGCCCUUCCUCUCUGGCGAUACCAGGAGCUCAGGAUAGAGAAGAGGAAACAGGAGGAGGAGGCCAGAAUGGCACAGAAGUAGGGGAAGAUGGGAUAGGACAGGCUGGGAACAGGUAGUCAGGCCCCUCCCA
rnacentral:sRNA from 1 species